rnacentral:rRNA from 1 species
AUUGAACGCUGGCGGCGUGCUUAACACAUGCAAGUCGUGCGGUAACAGGCGUAGCAAUACGUGCUGACGAGCGGCGAACGGGUGCGUAAUACAUGGGAAUCUGCCUUUUAGUGGGGAAUAACCCGGCGAAAGCCGGGCUAAUGCCGCAUAAGAUCUUCGGAUGAAAGCGGGGGAUCGUAAGACCUCGCGCUGAUAGAUGAGCCCAUGCCGGAUUAGCAGUUGGUGAGGUAACGGCUCACCAAGGCGACGAUCCGUAGCUGGUCUGAGAGGACGGCCAGCCACACUGGGACUGAGACACGGCCCAGACUCUACGGGAGGCAGCAGUGGGAAUAUUGGACAAUGGGGAAACCCUGAUCCAGCGACGCCGCGUGUGUGAAGAAGGCCUGCGGG